rnacentral:pre_miRNA from 1 species
CAAGUACUCCCUUCCUCCGGAAUUACUUGUCAUCAAAAUGGAUGUGUCUAGAACUAAAAUACAUCUAGAUACAUCCAUUUCAAUGACAAGUAUUUUCGGACGGAGGGAGUACAAG